UACGGGGGGGGCAAGCGUUGUUCGGAAUUACUGGGCGUAAAGGGCUCGUAGGCGGCCAACUAAGUCAGACGUGAAAUCCCUCGGCUUAACCGGGGAACUGCGUCUGAUACUGGUUGGCUGGAGGUUGGGAGAGGGAUGCGGAAUUCCAGGUGUAGCGGUGAAAUGCGUAGAUAUCUGGAGGAACACCGGUGGCGAAGGCGGCAUCCUGGACCAAUUCUGACGCUGAGGAGCGAAAGCCAGGGGAGCAAACGGG
rnacentral:rRNA from 1 species